UAUUUUUUAAUAAUACGUUUCCCAUUAAUUUGACAUGAAUAAUGUAUUUUUUUCUAGAAUGUGGUUUAAACAUGGGCUAAGAAAGCCGUCCGGACUGGUUCGACAGGACCGGAAAUCCCGGUUCAAUGUUCGUCCGCAAAUUCCAAUCGGGACUGGAUAACGCCCGACUCGCAAGCAGUCUCUGCAAAACACAGAGAUCAGGGAAAAGGAACACGAAAAAGUAAAGAAAAAUGAUGAGAACAAGAUUGUUAUGGUUCUCACUGGGGUUUGCCUCCACCUCUGCAGUAAUGACUCACUUUGUUUUCAAAGAUCUCUGGAUUGAUCGCAAAUGCAUCUCUUCCCAGGUAAUAUUGUAUAAAUUCAACAUAUAUGCUUAUGAAUUGUAUUUAUUUAUAAAAGUUUUUAUGAAUUUCUUCUUUUUUAUGGCUGCAGUUGAAUGAGAAAUUUAGUUCUUUAGAUACCCGAGUUUCCAAUCUGGAAUCCCUUCUUCCUCAUAAACACCCUCCGCAACCGGUACGGUUUUUUCCUUCAUGUUACAAUUAUUUCUGAAAAUUUUAUAAUAUUUUUGGUCCUUUUUGUUUUUGAAGAAUUGGGAAUUUUGAGAAGGGCUUGGGGCCUUUGGCUACUCUGCUUUAACUAGGUUUGAUCUUUUUAAGAUGGAAUCCAAGAUAAUAAUAACUAAUGAAUAAGGGCUGCUUAUCUUGAAGGUUGACAUGGAACCCCCAAUACCAAUAGUGGGAAAUCAAAAUUCAAGUUUUGUUCGGGAAAAAUUUAUUGGUAUGUUACAAAGUGGAAUUGAAGGCAGACUUGUAGUAAAAUGCAGUGAUUCACACAUCAUUAUAUGAAUUAGCAUCUCGAAUUGCAGUGAGCAUUAUUUUUUUCUUCCAUUUUGUGGCGUGAAAAUUAUUUAUGGUUGUGUUUGGUGUUACCGAUAGAUGGUCAAGAAAUAGCUGCAAUUUUUUGUCGGUUACAUGUUUUAUGUUCAGAUCAUGAUUUCCAAAACUUGGUAGAAAAUUACAGUUUUGGUUAAUAGUUUGCAUGGAUAUAUACAAUAAAUAACUUAUUAAUUAUGGCUUUUAUGCAUUGUUUUUGAUGAAUUACAAUCUUUUUGCUCUUUUUUAACCAACUUAUCUUCACCUGCUCACGGUCGUAUUGAUCAUAUUCUGAUAUUGUUGUCCCAGGACUUGAGUAUAAUCAUUAUCAUUCCACAAUAUCACCACGAUCAGCAAUACUGAAUUAUGGAUAGAUCAUAGAUGUAACAAUUGCUUAGGAUUGUUGUUGCAUUUUAAUCCCUGUGCUAAACAAUGUGAUUAUGAGAGAUUCUAGAGUCUGUCUCGAAUCUUUAUAAUGGGUUCAUGUAAUAGUUUCCUCUAUGGACUGGAAUUCUCUAGCUCUACUUGAAUGAUAAUUCAUGUAGAAGUUAAAAACACGUGUUCUGUUUUUCCCACAUUAUACAUCCCACUGGGAGAACAUCAAUUGUGACUUGUCUCUACCUUUAAUUUGUUGAAAUGUGCUUAUUAUGGUCCCACAUAAAAACUGUAUUUAAGAACUAUGAAGAUAUUGCUUUCUUUUUACUCUUUUUUUUUUUUUGGGGGUUUGUGUGUGCACGCGUGGAAAUGAACAUCUCAUAUGUGAUGUCACAUAGUGGAAAGUAAGACAUAUUGUGACUGAAUUGAAGAAUAAUUGCAAACUUGAAGCUUUAUCUAAUAAAAAUAAAAAGUGAUAAGGUCCCAAACUAAUGGAUUGAGAAGUGAUAUUCCAGAGUUCCUUUAAACCUACACUUCUACCUAUCAUUAACGCAUAAGCAUGCCAAUGAAGAAAGUCAAUGGAAAACAACACAAAAGAUUCAAAGCAAUGCUGUUUUAUAUUUAAUGAAAAUGCAAUGUGUUAUUUUUAUUCAUUUUUUUUUCUUCCAUAUUGUGAAUUUGUCAUCCUUUUCACAUAAUUUACAUUGAAGCUGUUUUUUUUUUUUAAUAACUGUGGGUGUCCGGAUCAGCUUACGUGCACUUCGAUUAAGCCCAUGGGACCCUAAAAUUUACAAUCAGGUACUCACUUCAGUGGUUCUAAGGAGAUUCAAACUGUUAACCAUUGGAGAACAAACUCAAGACCUGACCACUGAGCUACCCUUCAGAGUUUUUUCAUUACAGUAGUUUUAGGCAAACUGAUGAAUCUUCCUUGUCUAGUAUCGAGUUUCAAAAAUUGAGUAGUGUAAAAUGGUAUCUAAUAUUUGUGUUGUCGCCUUCUUAAUGAACAGUUAUAUAUUACAAAAAUAAAUUAAAAAAUCAAAAAAUACUUAACGAGACACUUAUCACCCUGGACAUUUGUUUUACUAUAUUUGGAGAAAAGAUAAUGGCAGAGAUUAGUGGGUGUUAAGUUGUAAUUUUUGUGAAAUCAAAUAUUAUUCUCUGCUAGGACUGUCUCUAUUGGUUUCUAGAUAAUGAAUGUAAAAUUAGUCUAGUGGAAACAUAAAAUGUAACUAUUAUUUAAUAUAGUGUAGAAUUAAUUGAUAUUUCAUCGUAUAACGGUAAACAAAAUUUCUGUUGUUAUCUAUACGAUAAUCUGAAGUGUUUUUGAUCCACCUCUCAUCUGUCUAUUCUAAUAAGACAACAAUGCUGUCAUGAUUCAUGAAUGAAAGUUCUUUUAAGACUAUGAUAGAAAUGUCUUAAUCAUAUAAGUUCCGUUUCAUAUGGCGAUGCCUCCAUUUGUUGACUUAUGUCAUAAUUUUUAUUUUAUUCAUUCUAGUAUUACCAAACCCCCAUCUCAAAAUCAUUAUUUUUGCUAUAUUCAAUUUAUGGAAAUUUUAUUCAAUAUACUCUUAUUAUGGCAUAGCUUGUCUAAUAAACAUUAUGUAGAACUUCCAUUUUUUACUUGAUUGGUAUCUUUGAAUCACAUAGAAUCCCUAUUGUAGUUCUCCAUUUCGUCCUACCCAUUUCAGUAUAUGCAUUACAAAGGUAUUAGGCUGAUUUUAAAUUAUCAGCUCUCUCAAUUUUAUUCAACUUAGAAGGCUUCUCUUAAAUAGAGAAGAAAGAAUAACAACCCCCUAAAACUAAGGCUAUAAAUCCCUAUAAAUUAGGGAUAAAAAACAGCCCUUAUUCAAAUUUAAACAAGCACUAAAAUAGGAAACUACAUAACAAACUCAACAAUCAAACUAACUAAAUAAUUUGAGGAUCGUCUACACUCCCCCCGAAGUUGAUAAAUAGAUGUUGAUCAUUCCCAACUUGUCUACAAUAUCUUUAAAUUGUUGCCUCGGUAAACCUUUAGUUAGAAUAUUUACAACUUCUUGAUUUGAAGGAACAUAGGUCAUAGUGAUUACUCCUUCUUUGAUUCUUUCUUUAAUAAAGCGUCGAUCCACUUCUACAUGUUUUGUUCGAUUAUGAUGGACUGGAUUAUGAGCAAUAUUAAAUGCAGCUUGAUUAUCACAUUAGAGCUUCAUGGGCUCCGAACCGUUCAUCUUCAACUCAUCCAAUAAUCUCUUAAUCCAAAUUAAUUCACAUGUUUCUUGAGCGACGGCCAUGUAUUUUGCCUCUGCGCUACUUUGAGCUACCACGGCCUAUUUCUUGCUAUGCCAUGUAACCGUAUUUCCCCAAAUCUUUGUGCAAUACCCAGACUUUGACCUUUUAUCAUCAACCGAACCUGCCCAAUUUGCAUCAAUAAAUGUCUCCACACUUCGUUCCUCAUUCUUUUUAAAACACAGUCCCUUUCGAGGUGCGAAUCCAAUAGACUACUUCAAGGUGUUCCUCAUAUGGGUCAUGCAUAAAUUCACUUGCAAUGCUAACUGCAAAUGCAAUAUCCGGUCUUGUGUGGAAAGAUAAAUUAAUUUUCCUACCGGUCUUCAAUUGUUUAGGUUCUUCAAUAUCAUCCAUGUAUACUAUUAGAAUAGUGAAUGUUUGAAAAAUAUUGUAUGAUUUGCUUGGCCUUAGGUGAAUCCAUAUUUCUUGAUGGAUUUGGCGAAUCUCUCAAACCAUGCUCGUGGUGAUUGUUUCAGACCAUAGAGUGAUUUCAUCAACUUGCGAGUUUUUCUGUAAAUUUCUUCAAACCUUGGAGGUACAUUCAUAUAUACUUCUUCUAAUGUACCAUUCAGGUAAGAUUUUUUUACGUCCAUUUCGUGAAGUGGCCAAUUCAGAUUAACUGCUAAUUAUAAUAGAAUUCUGACGAUGUUGAGCUUUGCAACUGGUGCAAAUGUCGCAGUAUAAUCUACUCCAAGUGUUUGUGUAAAUCCUUUUGCAAUCAGUCGAGCUUUGUACCUCUCAACAUUGUCGUCUGACCUAUACUUGAUAGUGAAUACCCAUUUACACCCUACUGGACUUUUUCCAUCUAGUAAGUCAACUACUUCCCAUGUUCCAUUCUUCCUCAAGGCAUACAUCUCUUCCUCGACAAUUUUUCUCCAUUCAAGAUGGCUAAGGUCUUCAUGAAUUGUCUUUGGAAUUUUGUCAUUGGAUACUUUUUCUGUCAAUGCUCAGAAUGCUAGUGAUAGUUUGGUAUAGAAGAGGUCAUUGGCAAAGGGUACAAGCUCGUGUGCCUUUUCCUAGAGCAAUCGAUAUGUUUUAGUUGCUAUCAAUCUAUUAAUCUGGAGUGUUCACCUUUGGCUCGGACUCUUGAUAGUGAGUCUGGGGAAUAAUGGUAGAUACAUCCGUAGGAGCUUGGACACAUCUAGAAUAAACACGUAACUCGGUUGUUUUUUUUCCUCUUUAGGUGAAUCUUUCCUUGUUUCUAGUUCAACUAUUUCUGGCACAAUAGGUAAGGUGGGUAGGCUUGGAUUUGGGAGAUUUGGAAGACUAUUUGAGAGUUUUGGAAGACUUAGAGGGCUUGGAUUUGAGAAAGGGUAGAUUUGUUGUCCUUUACUCGAGUUCUCCCCUUGAAGGACAGAUUUUGGAUAGUAAGAAAGAUGUUCAAGGAAGGUGACAUUGCAAGUAACAGGUAACUUUUUUGUUUCUGGAUUAUAGCAUUUGUAACCUUUUUUGAUUUGGGGAAUAACUUACACUUAAUAGCACGGGAUCAAGUUUGCUUUGAUUUGGAUGGGAAGAGUGGACAAAAACAGAGCACCAAAAUGUUUUAAUGGGAAGAUCGGAAGGCAAUGAUAGUGGGGAAACUGGUCGAGGUGGAGUUGGAUAGGUGUUUUGUAAUGAAGAGUCUUGGAAGGGAGAUGGUUGGUUAGAUAGGAGGUUGUAAGGACGGUUUCACCCUAGAAAUUUUUUGGAACAUUGUUUGUUAACAUGAUUGCACGGCAAUUUCAAGAAGAUGACGGUUUUUUUCUUUCGGCUAUACCAUUUCGUUGGGGGUUCCAACACAAGAACUUUGGUAGAUAAUUCUAUGAUUAAUAAGGAAGAGACAGAGAACAAAGUUGAAAUAUUCUCGUUCGUUAUCAGUUUGUAGGAUUUGGAUUUUAGUUUGGAAUUAGGUAAUAAUCAUAUAGUAGAAGUUUUAGAAAAUUGUAGCGGUUUUAGAUUUAUCUUUGAGAAGGAAAACCUAACAAAUACGAGUGUGAUCAUCCGUGAAGGUGAUGAACCAGCGUGCACCGGAAAUAUUGUUUAUGCGAAAUGGUCCCUAAAUAUCACUAUGAAUUAGAAUGAACGGAUUUGAUGGUUUGUAUGGUUGAAAAUGAUAGGAAAUACGAGUAUGUUUAGCAAAUUGAUACAUUUCACAAACAAAUGAUUCAAGAUUUUCAUUGAUAAAGAAUGACGGAAACAAACAUUUUAGAUAUGGAAAACUUGGAUGACCUAGCUUAUUAUGCCAUAACAUAACUUUAUUAGAACUAGAAUUCAAUUUGGAAACAGCUUCACUUUAUAGUGCUUGAGUUUGUUUAUUUGUGACGUGUCCAUUGCACUCAAACAAGUAUAAACCAUUGCUCUUCUUAGCACUGCCAAUCAUUUUCCUCGAAAGCAAAUCCUAAAACUGACAGCCAGAAUGAAAGAACUUAGCAACACAAUUCCAAUCUUUUGUUAAUUUGCUAAUGGGAAGUAAAUUACAAGAUAAGGUGGGAACAUGAAGAACAGAGUGAAGAGUUAAAGUGGGAGACAAUUUAAUGGAACCAAUUCCAGCUACAGGUGUGAAUAGGUGAGAAACUGAUUUAAAUAGCUGGUCAUAUGGUCUGACGCCCUUGAGUCAAUGACCUAGAAGUUUGAGGUUUCAGUUUUGGCUGAUAAGGCGGAGGAAAAAUGACCUUUUUGGGCAACAGAUGCUGUUGGCUGAACUGAGGUUGAUGGAGGUGCAAUAAAAAUUGCCUUUAGCUGCUCAAGUUGAUAUUUAGUGAACCAAAGGCCAGAUUCAGAAUUUUUAGCCCCAUUUUCUUCCUCUAUAGACGUCAAAAGGCCUCUAUUUUCUCUUUGUCUCUUUGCUCUCCAGCUCGAGUCAGAUUGCUUGAAAUGAGGUGGUUUGCUGUGAAUCUCCCAGCAUGUGUCCUUAGUAUGCUUGAGUCGCUUGCAGUGCUCACACCAUGGCCUGCUAUUUCUGUGCCCUGUCCAAGUACCAUUGUUUUGAUUGUAGUGCCGUUUUGUGAACAUAGCCGAUUCUGAUUGUAGAGGGUCAGGUUGAUUUGACCCCUUUCCUUUUCCAAGCAUAAACCGUUUCCUACUCUCUUCUCGUCAGACCAUUGCAAACGCCUCCUUCACUUCGGGAAAUGGCUUAAAUCCAAGGACUCUCCCCCUAACUUCAUCGAAAUCUUUAUUUAGUCCAUAAAGAAAAUCGAACACUCUCUCCUUAUCCAUCAUUUUCUUGUAUUCCAGUCAAGUUCCAGAAAGAGACCGAGCUCUUGCCAUAGGCCCAUCAAUUCAUUAUAUUAUUGAGUUAUUGAUUUAUCUCCUUGGUUUUUCUCGCUUAGGGCAGUUUUCAAUUCAAAAAUUUGAGCUGUAUUACCAACAUCAGAGUAUGUUUUGGCCAUCAUAUCCAAUAUUUCCUUUGCUGUCUUGUAGUAGAGGUAGGUUCUUCCAAUCUCCGGUUCCAUGGAGUUUAUGAGCCAAGCCUUCACCAUAGAAUUUUCCGAUCUCCAUUUCUUGAAUUCAGUGGUCCCUUUGCCUGGAGAUUCUGCCUCUCCUCAUCCCUUUCCGUCAAUGACCAAUAGAGCAGACUGAGACCACUCUACAAAGUUUGACCAUCGAGCUUUGUUUGGGUGACUUGGAGAGAGUUGUUCACAUUGUUAAUGCUGGUGGAAGGCUUAGGAAGUGGCUGAGAUGUUGCCGCUUCAGAAGUAGCCUCUGACAAUGCUGUCCUUGUAGCACCAGUCAUUGCCAUUUCGUCAUUAUUGCCUGUGCUGUGCUGAGUUUCCAUCUUUGAUACCAUGAAGGUAUUAGGCCGAUUUUAAAUUAUUAGCUCUUUCAGUUUUAUUCUACAUAGAAGGCUCCUCUUAAAUAUAGAAGAAAGAAUAACAACCCCCUAAAACUAAGGCUAUAAAUCCCUAUAAAUCAGGGUUAUAAAACAGCCCUUAUUCAAAUUUAAACAAGCCCUAAAGUAGGAAACUAACUACAUAACAAACCACAACAAACUAACUAAAUAAUUUGAAAAUCGUCUACACAUUAUCUUAGUCUUUUACUGAUAAUUGAUCUUAAACAUAUAAACCAACCUUUGGAACAACACCAUUCUUUAUUCUGAAUCUACUAUUAUUGUUAUUCCUAUAAGGACUAUGUAUUUCAUUUAAUAUUACUUAACUUAAACCUUUGAUUCUGAUGUCUUCUCUGGAGAUUUAACUUACAGUUAGUCCCCUUAGUCAUAUCAACUGAACAUACGUCAGGGACUCUUAUCUUAGAUAUGUCUUAUAAGUUCGUCCAUGAAUAAAAUAAAUAUUAAAGACUUUGAACUUGGAUGCAGCAACGGAAAAUUCUCUAUUACUUCCCCCACCAGAUUUUCUCCUCGCGUUUUAGCCAUCAUUUGGGUCCUUGUUAGUACUUAUGUACUAAUUUAAAUUCCUUUUUCUUCAUCUCUCUAGCAUCCACAAUAAGAUUUCGACAAAUAUCCAACUGUACCUUUCUUUAUACCAAUAAAAACCAUGUCCACAUUUUGUUAUUUUCUCUAUAUUUUUUCAUUACUGUAUGAAAUUGUUAAUUGACUUCCAUAAUAGAUUUCACUACCAGGAAACCAAACUGGUUCACUGUGGCCUAGUAUGUUAAGUUUUUUUUGGAUGCCUUCUUGAAUUACCACUUGCAGUAUUGAUUCUUUGACUUGGCAAAUUUCUUUUGCUGGAAGAAAAUAAUUGGCCUUACUAUCCUGGAGCUAAUGGCUGCGUCUUCCUUUGGAGGAUGCAAAUCAACUUCUUUCCAUCUGUGUGAAAAGUACAAGCAUCGUGGAGCUGUUUAACAUCCCAUGUGCUUAUCAUACAACCAGGAUUGACCUGAUAAUAUGUGACAAGCAUCCAGUGGAAUAACAUUCUGCAGUAUACUGAGUUUCCUUAGGUUUUCACAAAAUAUCCCCCAACCAUUUAAGUCAUCUUUCUCCUAAUUUCUCAUCUGUUGGUGUCACCUCUACUCGUCAAUGUAUGGUCUCAUUUCUUAUGUUAUAAAUUCUAAUAUGAUGACAGAUUCAUCUUAUGAAUACUUUGUUCUUUUGAUGGGGAUGAUAGAGGAUUGCAGUAAGUUAACAAUUAACUUCAUCACUUCUUAUGAUGUAAGUCCUAAAGCCACUAGUAAAAGCAUGUAAUUAGAUAGAGGAUUGCAGUAAGCUAACAACUAAACUUCAUCACAUCUUAUGAUGAAAAUCCUAAAGCUACUAGUAAAAGCAUGUAAUUAGAUUACUCCUAACAAUUGCGAAAACGAAGUCACAGUGUCACUCCUAAGAGUAAUAGGAUUCCUGCAACAUCCGUCUUUCCAAAUCUUUGGAUCAAAUCAUAGCCAUGGUAACUUAAAAUAUAUAAAAAGUUUAAUUCAUCAGUUCAAAGCAAUGAACAACAAACCUUACAAAAAUAUAAGUUUAAACUGGUAAAAAUAACCUGACUUGUCUUUCAACUCUUACCCUAUGUUUUUUCCUCUAGGAAUGCUUAUAAUAAAUUAAAUAUGUAGAUUGUAGGUAUGUCCCCAUUAUGUAUAAAUUAGUAAUUUCUUUCACUUCAAUAUUUACUUAAUCCAGCCAGUGAAGGCAGUUUGUUUUGUACCAGAUGUAUGUAUUUCAUUUUUUUCGUAAAUUAUAUUGAAAAGUGACGCUCGAGGAAUUGAUGCUAUAAUGAUAGAGUGGGUGCUAUUUUUCUUUAUAUAUUUGUCCAUUUUUAAAAAUGAUAGAAAUGUUAUUAAUAUCUGGAUUAUUUCGAUAUCUUGUGUGCAAUUGAGUUGAGUUAUCACAAAAAUAUAUGACUCUCUCUUUCUCUCUCUCUCUGUGGAUUAAGAAUGAAGAGGAUUGACUAUUGACCGAAGUAUAUACUAAUUCUAGUUUUCAAAGCUUUCGGGUGUCUUUUGUUGACACAAUUAUGUUACAUAAUUCUUGUCUUGGCAUAAAUUAAUUCACCGGCUCAAUUUUCUUUUGUUAUAGCUUACACAUGUGGCCUUACAGCUGUUUCCUUCUUGCAGGACGAAGGCAAUAUUUAAUGAUGCUUCAGCUUUUUGGUUGCCCAUCUUGAAGUUCAUAGAGCUCUCGCGUGUCAUCUUUCUUGGAUGAAGGCAAUUUGCAAAAAGAUCCAUCAUGCUUGGUGUUGUAGCCCAUUGCUGUUAAUGUAUUUUGGACAAGUUUGUUAUGGAACGUUAUGUUAGGCAAAAUGUUAGUAUGAGAUACUCCGCUCAUAGAUUUACAUAAUUUUAGUUUUGUGAGGUGACACCCUCUGUAGCUAGGCUUAAUCUAAACUUGUUUGUCACUUGUUUGGCAUCUUUGUUAUCAGAAUGCAAUCUGUUUUAUGGCUUGUUAUCAAGGGCCUCGUGGAGUUUUUAUUUUUAUAAUUGAAGUUAUUUUCUAUAAUUGCGUCAUCAGCUCUUGUUGAUAGGCUGCACUAAUUCGGGAUGCCCAUUAAUCUUCAUCCCCUUGUUCUGUAAAGGUUAAAAUAAUGUUCUAUGAAAGUUUGCUGAUUAGACUGAGGUUAACUUGUAUAAUUUGCACGUCCCUGGACAUUGCCAAAUUUUGCUUCAUCAAGGAUAUCUGCCUUCUCUAUUAUAAACUUAUAUGGAGCUUUCCCUGGUCAUGAUUAAAAUUUC
rnacentral:lncRNA from 1 species